CCCGCUACUGCCCAACCUCAGAACGUGGAGCUGCUGAUAAUGGGUUCAAGCUUCGGAGGAGAGGCUUCCAGAUUGUUCCAUCUGAUGGUGAAGUCUCCAGGCACUCUGGACCAACACCACGUGGAGGUGGUUGGUGAUGCCCAUCUGCACAGGAGGGAGGGAAGACUUGCAGCCUCGGCCUCCCUUAAGCCUGGACACUGUAGGAGGACGAGCUCCCAGGGCACCUGUCUGCCUGCUGCCUGUUAUUUCUAGUUUGCUCUAAAUCCUCACCCUGAAAGGGUGUCACCUUUUAUAAAGUACAGUCUGCAUCUUUUGAAAUGAUUAUACAGUAUUAGCUUUUCCUUUAUCCUGUUAAUAUGGUCAACAACAUCGAUUCUCUUAUGUUUUCGGUUCCUGGCAUAAACCUACCUGAGCACAAGAGAUGGUCCUUCCUUGCACUGCUGGGUUUGAGUUGCUGUGAUUUUGUGGCUGUGUUCCUGAGGAAUACUGGCAUAAUGGCUUUUCUUUUUUGAAAUGUCCUUGUCUGGUCUUGUGUGGAGUCAUCUGGCAACAGGGGCUGCGAUGCAUUCCCCUGACCUUACUUCUCAGUCAGGCCCACAGGCUGGGGAAUAGCAUCUCACUCUGGGCAGAGCUCGGGCAGCAUUGGGUCAGUGAUCAGGGCUCCAGUUUCAGGGGGCUCCAUCCAGGUCAGGCUCACCGUGCUCCCCAGAUAGCGCCUCCCAGGACCCUAAGUGAAAGCCCAGUAGCUGCACUUCCUGAGAACCACCCAUUUGGAUGGCUUAAAGCUGCCCUCUCUGUCUCCUGCUGUGCCCUGUCAAACCAGGCAGUUGCUUGAGGGAACAGAGUGGGAGCUGGUUCUGUUUUUCCAUGUCCCAGGGGACUUGGUUUCUUAAACCCAGCAGGGGGAGAUUCCACUCAGCUGCUCUGAAUCAGGGCCCUGCUUCCUGCAUACCCCGAGGAUUCAGGAAAACCAUGAGAACAUGGGAAAAAUAGCCUAGUAUCCUAUAUCCUCCACUGGUAUCCAACCUGUAACACCGCCUUCAAGCGACUGCCAAGAGCUCUUCCCUACAUCUUGUCCCUCUGCUAAAUCUGAUCCUUAGCCAGAGCCCAGGAAUGGCAAAUGCUGCCAGGGAAGAAAACAGCUAGUAGUCAUCGGCUUGCCUAGAAUGGGAGUUUCUCUCCUCAGAAAGUUAGUUCCCCCUGAUACUUAUUCCCUCCACAGCUCUAUCAUGGCUUGAAAAGUUGAUUCUUGAAAUUUGCCCCUUUUUACUUAGUGUCGUAGGUGAAAUAUUACCUUCCUGUCUUAGUCCAUUUUGUAUUGCUGUAACAAAAUGCCUGAGACUGCGCACUUGCCAAAUAAAAGUUUAUUUAACUCACA